CCUACGGGUGGCUGCAGUGGGGAAUAUUGGGCAAUGGGGGCAACCCUGAUCCAGCCAUGCCGCGUGUGUGAAGAAGGCCCUCGGGUUGUAAAGCACUUUCAGUGAGGAAGAACGCCUGGUGGUUAAUACCCAUCAGGAAAGACAUCACUCACAGAAGAAGCACCGGCUAACUCCGUGCCAGCAGCCGCGGUAAUACGGAGGGUGCGAGCGUUAAUCGGAAUUACUGGGUGUAAAGCGCGCGUAGGUGGCUUGAUAAGCCGGUUGUGAAAGCCCCGGGCUCAACCUGGGAACGGCAUCCGGAACUGUCAAGCUAGAGUGCAGGAGAGGAAGGUAGAAUUCCAGGUGUAGCGGUGAAAUGCGUAGAGAUCGGGAGGAAUACCAGUGGCGAAGGCGGCCUUCUGGACUGACAAUGACACGGAGGUGCGAAAGCGUGGGUAGCAAACAGGAUUAGAUACCCCGGUAGUC
rnacentral:rRNA from 1 species